CUGGGAUCAUGACCCGAGCCGAAGGCAGAGGCUUUAAUCAACUGAGCCACCCAGGUGCCCCAAGUCUUAUGAAAGUUAAAUAACCUGUCUCUGGGAGCUGCCAAGGCUGGGGUUAGAGUUCAGUGGUCUGACAGCGGCAACCUGCCUUCUUAGCUGCCUCCGUGUUGGAAAGGCAGGAGUGACUCACUGCGGUAAUUGUUACAAACUGUUGUUGGGCUUGGUCAGGCAGCUUCUGAUGACCAGGUGUGUUUUGCAUCCCGCUUAGGCACCGAACUGGACUAGAAUGGAGGUGAGCUGCUUUGUAGCCCCUGAAGACUGGAAGCAAAGCCAAGAAACUAAGAGGUCCCUUUUGGCCCCGUCCGGGAGACAAAGAGCAUUGCAGUUUCUUCUGAAAUGCAGACACUACUGUGCCACCAAGUUCCUCCUGCAAGUAUCUGAAAUUAUUUCCCAGGAAUAUCACUGCCUGAUUUUUCUAGGUAACAAAUGUUUUUUCCAGGCCUACCCAUUUCCUAAUUCACACAUACGCUUGCAAUGUAAUGAUCCAAAUGACAUGAUCUGAGUACCCCCUGAGGCUUCCUUUGCCGGGUUGGGGGGGAGGUCACUUAAAUAUGUGGUGAGCCAACCCUGUUAUCCAGAAGGCAUUUCGACGCUACCAAGCCAUGUGACUUUGACUCUUUGUAAAAGAUGAUAUUUCAUCCCCCUCACCCCCGUUUCUGUGUUUGGUCCCCAAGCAUCAUUUCCCCACUUCCCUAGGGCACCAGCCUUUCCGGAAAUGCCCUAGCUCUGCAGGCAGCCUCUACCUCCCCGAGAGGUAAGAGGGGGCGCUGAGGCAGGGAGGGCACCUGCACCGGGUGGGCCUGCUGGCUGAGGCCGGGCCGGGUGGAGGGCAGGGGCUGCGGCUGACCGGAGCCGCCCAGCCGCUUGGCCCCCUCCAUGGAGCAGCACCCAGCUCAGGCUCCGGCCCAGGGAGGAGAGGAGGUUGCUAUGCAAAUGCGCGGCGGCCAGCGGCCCCCUUUACCCAGGGGCCCUCUGGUUGCCAAAACAGACCAUUCCCCAGAACAGUCGCCUAGAAACGGGCGCUGUCAUAGCAGCCUCUGCGUGGCAGCGAGCCAGCAGCGCUGCCAGGAGGAGCUGGGUCAGGGUGUUCAGACCUCCUCAGCACCCCCUGCCAGCCCGUCUCCACCUCAGGGAGGGG
rnacentral:lncRNA from 1 species